rnacentral:lncRNA from 1 species
CAAAACCUUUGGCCUGUAAUCCUUAAAUUCCAUGCUGUGAGUUCUGCUGUUGAGUUCUGCAGAUGGGAAAACAGAAUUUUAGAAAAUUUAAGUAACGUACCUGAACUUUCACCACCAGGACAUCUGACAAUGUCUGAAGACAGAUUUGCUCAUCAUAACUAGAAUCUAGCGGGUAGAUGCCAGAAAUGCUGACCAUCCUACAGUGCACAGGACAGCCCCACCACAAACAAGCCAGCAGUGCUGAGGUUGAGAAGCUUUGCCUUAAUCAUAAGGAAGAGAACAUUUUAAUGAAUGCUCUCAGAAAAUGGGAUCCGAGUAAAUAUGGCAGCUUGACCAUCUUCACCAGUAGAGGCCAUACUGCCCCUGGAAAGACUCCGCCCUGUGAAGCUUAAAAAGUACCCUAAAAAUUCUGCAGUGGAAAAAGACCUGGCCCAGAGUCAGAAAGCAAGAUUGCAAGGUCAAGUAUGGCCACUGAGAACUGUGUGAUUGCAUCUGUAAAGCAGGAUAUUGACAGACAAAGGCCUUUGAUGUGGGGAAAGACCAUUGUCUUUACUACUGAUGCCUCCAAAGAAGAUACGGCCAUUGUCUAUUCUCUCCAUGUUCUUUGUGCAUCAAAGAUGCAAUCUGAAAUGGAAACCACAAAGCCAAGGUAGCAAGAAACAGCAUGGUGUAAUGGAAGGAGCACUGGUCCAGAGUCAGGAGACCUGGCGUCCAGUAUGUGCUGCACCUGUCUCACUGAUGGGCAUCACACAGCAUCCCUUCUGUUCUCUGGGCCUCAGUUUCCUCAUUUGCUAAGAAAGCAAUCUGGCUCAAAAUUUCUGAAGACUUAUUCGAUUUGGACAAACUGGCUUAAAGACCCAUGACAAUGCGAAAGACUUUUCCCAUCCAAAAUUAAAAUUAAAAUUAAGCCUUUAAAUGCAAUUUUUGGCUAACUCGUAAAAUUCACAUAAAUGUAUUACCAUCCAGGUGUUACAAGACUUCCAUAACUACCAUUGUUAUGGACACAAAACAAUAUACUCUCUGAGCUGAAUGAAUCAAGAUUUUAUUAAUCAGUCCCUAAUUGUUGCACAUUUUGUUUCUUAGAAGAUAUUUUGGGGAGUCAACUCAGCUCAAAAGAAAAUCCCCCUUCAAUGAGAGCUUUCUCAUCCCCAUCAUCCAUAAGGAAGAGCCCUCUGGCAUUCCUUGCUUUUGCCAAGUAACCAGAACUUCCUGACUACAGUUGAUUGGUCCAGGGAUGAACCCCAACUUUAAAUGUGUCAAUCAGAUCAUCUCUUCUUCGAAUAGGAGUUGGAUCAUGUGCCAAUAUGUAAGCCAAUCAGGUGGAUGGAGUGAGAGGGAAAGUAUCCUGGUAGGCUAUUACUUGGUGACAAGCCCACCACUCUGAAGCCAUGGUGGUGAGGAAGCGAAAGGCAACGUUGCCAAGCCACCCAAUCUAAGCAAGAGUAUUAUGGAGUUGGAGGGGUGGGGGUUAUUUACAAAGAGAAACCUAAAAUCGGGGGUGGGCAGCAAGGCAAAAAUUGAUUAUUUUUCUAUGUCUUUUUAUAACAAACCCAGAGCCAGAGAGGAACUACCUUGGAUCAAUUCCUAUGACUUCCAUUGUUAUCUUAGAUGUGAACUUUGAUUCUUAAUUUGGCAUAUUACCUUGUUAAUCAAUGACUGAACUCAAUCGAUCAACACACUACAUGUGCAUAUGUGUAUGUGCAUGAGUGUGUGUGCAUCUGAGUAUGUAUAUAUGUGUGGGGGGGUGGGUGUGGAUGUGGGUGUGUCUUUAAUGCAGACACAAAGCACCAUCUCCAAAUUCUGAUCUUGUGGGUCUAGAACAGGGCCGAGGAAACUGAAUUUUACUAAAGCUUUCCUUCCACUCCAGGUGAUUUUGACACCUAACUACAGUUUGGAAUACAUUGCUGCUGAUCACUGGGACCUGUUGAAGAUAGCGAUGCUCUCGAUGACAGAUGGAUCCGUACCAAAGGCAUGAUGGAGAGCAGUGUGACCCUGUGCUGCCACUAGCUUGAAAUAUCCACUCGGUGAAAGGCUGAACAGUGAUAGGACACUUCUGGAAGGAUACACAAGAAACCGUGAGUUUCUCUGUAUCAAAGAAACUGGUGGCUGGGAGAUGUGAGGGGGAGCCAGUCACAUUUUACUGUUCAUCCCAUUUUCAUGUGUUUUGAAGUUUGUACCAGGUAUGUGUAUUGUUUUAUCAAACAAUCACUCAAGCAACUGUGCGUGUGUGUGUGUGUGUGUGUGUGUGUGUGUGUGUGUGUGUGUGUGUGUAAUGCCAGCACCAGACCCCAUCCACAAAUCCUGAAUCUGAGAGUAUGGGGCUGAAAGGGCAGUGACAGGAGUGAGAAGGGGCUUGGGCCAGGUGCUGUGAGGAGAUGGCUGCUCCUCGGGGCUAAAGUGGAUCCCCUGGGCGCCAUGGUUCAUCCCUGUAAUUCUGGCACUUUGGGAGGCUGAGGCAGGUGUAUCACUUGAGGUCACUUGAGGUCAGGAGUUUGAGACCAGCCUGGCCAAUGUGGUAAAACCCCAUCUCCACCAAAAAAAUACAAAAAUUAGCUGGGCGUGGUGGCAGGCACUUGUAGUCCCAGCUACUUGGGAGGCUGAGGCACGAUAAUUGCUUGAACCCAGGAGGUGGAGGUUGCAGUGAGCUGAGAUCGCACCACUGAACUCCAGCCUGGGUGACAGAGUGAGUCCCUGUCCCAAAAAAUAAUAAUAAUAACAAUAAUAAAAUUAAAGUGGAUCCCCUGAACAUUUUCCUGUGGAGGCCUUGAGGCCUGGUGUGGCUGUAUGUGCAGUAAGGAAGUAAUUAAGAUUAAACGAGGUUGUGAGGGUGGAGCCCUGGUCCCACAGGAUUAGUGUCCUUAUAAGAGGAGACAUCAGAGAUGGAGGGUGGUCUCUCUCUUUCACCUGUAUGAGAACACAGCAAGAAGACUGAAACCCAGGAAGUGGCCCUCACCAGAAACCAACUAGGCCAGCCCCUCGACCUUAGAGUUCCAGCCCAGAAUGAUGAAAAAUAAAUGCUUUCCUCAGUCCCUAGU